GACGAACGCUGGCGGCGUGCUUAACACAUGCAAGUCGAACGGAAAGGCCCUGCUUUUGUGGGGUGCUCGAGUGGCGAACGGGUGAGUAACACGUGAGUAACCUGCCCUUGACUUUGGGAUAACUUCAGGAAACUGGGGCUAAUACCGGAUAGGAGCUCCUGCUGCAUGGUGGGGGUUGGAAAGUUUCGGCGGUUGGGGAUGGACUCGCGGCUUAUCAGCUUGUUGGUGGGGUAGUGGCUUACCAAGGCUUUGACGGGUAGCCGGCCUGAGAGGGUGACCGGCGAAAGUGGGACGAGGGUGCGGCCCAGACUGGGCCGGGCGGGAGGAGGAGGAAAUAGAGCAGGCGGGGGGGGGGCGAGGGGACCAGACGCCGCGGGCGGGACGACGGGCUUUGGGUUGGAUUCCGCAUCCUGCGGAGGCGGAGGGUGAGUGACGGGAGGGGGAAAAGAAGCACCGGAGAACUAAGGGGCAGCAGCCGCGGUAACAUGGGGAAGAGCAAGCGUGUGCGC
rnacentral:rRNA from 1 species